CCUAAGGUAGCGAAAUUCCUUGUCGGGUAAGUUCCGACCUGCACGAAUGGCGUAAUGAUGGCCAGGCUGUCUCCACCCGAGACUCAGUGAAAUUGAACUCGCUGUGAAGAUGCAGUGUACCCGCGGCAAGACGGAAAGACCCCGUGAACCUUUACUAUAGCUUGACACUGAACAUUGAGCCUUGAUGUGUAGGAUAGGUGGGAGGCUUUGAAGCGUGGACGCCAGUCUGCGUGGAGCCAACCUUGAAAUACCACCCUUUAAUGUUUGAUGUUCUAACGUUGGCCCCUGACCGGGGUUGCGGACAGUGUCUGGUGGGUAGUUUGACUGGGGCGGUCUCCUCCCAAAGCGUAACGGAGGAGCACGAAGGUUAGCUAAUCCUGGUCGGACAUCAGGAGGUUAGUGCAAUGGCAUAAGCUAGCUUGACUGCGAGCGUGACGGCGCGAGCAGGUGCGAAAGCAGGUCAUAGUGAUCCGGUGGUUCUGAAUGGAAGGGCCAUCGCUCAACGGAUAAAAGGUACUCCGGGGAUAACAGGCUGAUACCGCCCAAGAGUUCAUAUCGACGGCGGUGUUUGGCACCUCGAUGUCGGCUCAUCACAUCCUGGGGCUGAAGUAGGUCCCAAGGGUAUGGCUGUUCGCCAUUUAAAGUGGUACGCGAGCUGGGUUCAGAACGUCGUGAGACAGUUCGGUCCCUAUCUGCCGUGGGCGCUGGAGAAUUGAGGGGGGCUGCUCCUAGUACGAGAGGACCGGAGUGGACGCAUCACUGGUGUUCGGGUUGUCAUGCCAAUGGCACUGCCCGGUAGCUAAAUGCGGAAGAGAUAAGUGCUGAAAGCAUCUAAGCACGAAACUUGCCCCGAGAUGAGUUCUCCCUGAGACUUUAAGUCUCCUGAAGGAACGUUGAAGACGACGACGUUGAUAGGCCGGGUGUGUAAGCGCAGCGAUGCGUUGAGCUAACCGGUACUAAUGAACCGUGAGGCUUAACCUU
rnacentral:rRNA from 1 species